GUCUAACUGACGCGUCUAAACGAGGACGAAACGCGCGUCCUGGAU
rfam:Schistosoma mansoni, Puerto Rico, WGS project CABG01000000 data, contig: 0041